rnacentral:tRNA from 1 species
GGCGACGUGGCGGAGUGGUUACGCAGCGGUCUGCAAAACCGUUUACCCCGGUUCAAUUCCGGGCGUCGCCUCCA